rnacentral:snRNA from 1 species
GUGCCUGCUUUGGCAGCACAUAUACUAAAAUUGAAAUGAUACAGAGAAUGUUAGCAUGGCCCCCCACACAAGGAUGACAUACAGAUUUGUGAAGUGUUUUAUAUUUUU